UACGUAGGUGGCAAGCGUUAUCCGGAAUUACUGGGCGUAAAGCGCACGCAGGCGGCCUUUUAAGUUUGACGUGAAAGCUCCCGGCUUAACUGGGAGAGGUCGUUGAAGACUGGAAGACUUGAGGCAAUGAGAGGGGUGUAGAAUUCCCGGUGUAGUGGUGGAAUGCGUAGAUAUCGGGGGGAAUACCAGUGGCGAAGGCGACUUCCUGGCCUGUUCUUGACGCUGAGGCGCGAAAGCUAGGGUAGCAAACGGG
rnacentral:rRNA from 1 species